CACCGACUCAAUGGACAUGAAUCUGAGCAGACUCCAGGAGAUAGCGGAGGGCAGGGAAGCCUGGUGUGCUGCAGUCCAUGGGGUUGCAAGGAGUCAGAUACAACUUAGCAACUGAAGAACAACAAUAGGUAAAGAGGUGGUUAGGGCAGGGACCCUCCAAACGCACAAGCAUCAGGUCACCCCGAGCGCUCCGUCCCAUAAACCUGGACUGCUGGGCUGUGUUUCUGGUUCAGCGGGUCUAAGCCUAAGGAUCUGCAUUUCUGACAAGUGACCACGUGACGCCAAUGCUCCUGGUGCAGGGACCACACUUGGACGUGGGAAGCGUCAUUAGCUAGUCUGCUCCGACUCCACAAAGCCGUGUGCCAUGAGCCUCACUCAGCAUUUGUUCUAGAAAGGCAGAACAAAAACCAGGUCCCGCCAGCUGAAGCCCUUCAUCAAAAAUAAACUUCAGGCUUGUAUCCAACCCAACCCAAGUGAUUUAUCCAACCCAACCCACUUUAUUUCCUCAAGUUAUUUUUGCUUCUUGUGAAUUAUUUUUUUAAGGACAAAAAGGCAAAGAAUUCUUGAAGAGUGCUAACUCGGUCUCUGAAGUAUAAGGAUGACUUCUGAGACAAGUCACGUCAAACACAAAGUAAAACAAAUCAAACUAAGCCCAAGAUAUAAACAACUUCAAAAUAAUUCAGGGAGGAGGAAGGGAGAAGUCAAACCAGAGCUCCGUGACUCAGCCCAUGGGGACCCACGGGGUCCAACUCCACAGGGAAAAGUGCCACUUAUCAGAGUCUCUGAAAGUUGCAACAGGGUUAGGUUGAUGCCACCACUCUUUGUUAGAACAUUUCAUUCUUUCCUCUUAUCUCUAAGGCCCCUUACAUUGAAUGGAAACAUUUUAAGGAAGAAAAGGACUAGGAAGAUUAAAUCUCAAAAUCGGCGGAAAGGCCGGCCAGUUGUGAGAGAGGCAGAGGACUGGGUCCUCCCGGCUCACUUGUCCCCAGAUAUGACACCAGGGCUACAGACGACCCAGCAGAUGGCAGAGAAGCCGGCAUGAGGAGACAGGAUGGAAUUAACGUCUUAGUUUCAAGGGCGAAGUUAACCUUCAAUGUUUAAAUAAAAAUAGGAUUUGGACUCAACUACUGGAUGGAUAUUCUAGAAACACUCCCCAGAGCAAGACCUCAGCAAAGACCUUUUCGGACUCUGGCUGGACCCUCUGUCCUGACCUUCCUUCCCUAUGCAAAGCCCCUCACCCCCAAACUUCAAGUAAGGACAAGCUCCCACAGCAGCGUGUGUGGGGAGACAGAGACAGCUGACUCAGGACACGCUGGAGACGUAAGGCUGAAGAGAUGACCGAUGGCAGGGAAGGAAACCGCGCCCCCCAGACCCCUGAGCAUAUCGUGAGCAGCCCCCGAGCUCAGCGCUCUGCCCUCAUCACCUCCUGUCACGUGGCCUCCCUUUCACAGAGGUUCCUGCCCACCCAUCUCUCCUUUAUGAGGUGCAGAGGCUCGGGGAGAGGAAGCGAUGGGCUCUCCCAGCACGGGGAGUGUCGACUGUGUUCCUAGCGCAGGAGCCGUCUGGUCAUCAACGGCUGCUCGUCUUUCUGCUCAGCUCACCUGGGCUCUGGGAGCUGAGUAAAACCAAGACCAAGUGCUCGGGUGGACAGGUCAUCUCUCUGCUCCAGAUGACUUCCCACCUGGUGCUCCGGGGCCCACCCAGCACCACGCGAAAGCUUUGUGAGAUGCACAGACUUGGGGUGGGGUGGCCUUCACACCGGAGAACUGCUUUUUCUCUGCCUCCGCCUCUGCUUUUUGUUUUUUUAAGGGAUCAUGGAAACAGCCUUUGAUAAAUACACUUCAUACUCUGAAUGAUCAAGCCGGAAGGGCCAUCAGGCUGCUGUUGUCUGAGGCGAGGGUCUCACCUCUCUCCAGCUCACCAUGACGCUUACCUUGCACUUUUCACGUAACUUACAGCAGGUGUGAUGCUUCGCCGCUGCCCCCACCCCUGCCCCUGAAAUCUGAAAGCCCUGACCUCAACUCUUCAAAGCUGUACGAGCCAUGUUCUGAACGCUCUUCAGAAGACGCCCAAGUAGAAGGUUACGCAGUGCUAUGAAUCGCGGCGCGGUGGGGCACACCCCUGGUGGCUCAGUGGUAACAAAUCCGCCUGUAACGCAGGGUGUAAUGGGUCUGGGCUGGGAAGCUCCCAGGUGCCUCGGGGCAGCGAAGCCCGUGCUCCACAACUGCUGAAGCCCAUGCAGCUAGAGCCCGUUCUCCGCAACAAAGAAGCCAGCACGGUGACAAACCCCAGCACCGCCCUACAGGGUAGCCCUGGCUCGCCGCAGCCAGAGGGAGCCCAUGCGCGGCAAGGAAGACCCAGCGCAGCCACAAAUAAAAAAGAAAUAGAAUUAAAAAGAACCAUUCAGAGAGCAUGAAGUACACAAACAUACAGUCAGAUACGGCUAUUAAGGCCUGAGAAAAACUGCCUUGAGAAAACCCCGCUGGCGAAAUUAAUAAGGAUUUCCCCCAUUUCGGAAGAGGGUGCUUUCGACUGUAAGGAUGCACCAUUUAGCAGAAGCUUUAUCUUUUCAACAGAGACAGGGAGAUUUCUGUCAGAUAUGGCCCAUAACUGAAUAUGAAUCCUUAAUGGACAUUAGCGAGAAGGAAAACACCACUGCGAGCCUCUCCACUGACCGGACGCCCCCACGAUGACAGGUGUGUCAGGAUCCGGCUGUAGGAGGCCCAUCCCAGGGAGAAAUGGGCACCCCUCUCCACCGUCCUCUCCGCAGAGACAUGGACGGAGAUGCUGAGUGAGGCCCCUACGAGCUCAUCAACACGGAGAUGUGUGCGAAUACCAAUACUGCGUGAAAGCAUUUUACCCACUAAAAAGGUUAAAGAAAGGGACUUUUAACCAGGCCCCACCCCAAGCCCUUGGGAAAAAAAGAACACAGGCCACCAGAACGGGAAGAAAAGGAGGAAUUCUGAAAACAGAAGUACCACUGGUUUGAGGAUCUGGGGGACGAAACAGCACAGCUCUCGUGACUGGACUUACUGGCCUGAUGAGUUCUGGGGAUGCAGGGUGGAUGUUUGUGGUGUGGACACGUGGCAGCCCCCCAACCCUGACCGGGGUGAGGACCUACUGUUUACACCUGCCCCCUCCUCCCCCGCCCCCGGGCCCCCAGCUCAGGGAGGUUCGGGCUGCCACAUCACGUCCUGUGACUCCGCACCAGGAAGGGGAUGUUAAUCGUCUUUUUUUUUUAACCCAAGUCUCUGGCUUUUCUAUUUCACACCUCUCUUGAAUAUGUAAAACAAGUAACUGUGCCUCCUGUUCUUCGCUCUGCUCCGUAAAGACCACGAGAAGCACUUCUGGCUGGCGGCCAGCAAUAGCGCCAGGCCCAAGUCCACCACCCAGGCUGGACUCUCACACGCCCACUGGCCGAGGGCUCUUACCUGGGGCUCCGGUGUACAUGAUGGAGAAGACAUUGAUGGCGAUGGUGGCGGCGUAGAACACGGGAAGCGCCCGGAGGCCGUUGGGAACAGGGUCCUCCUACGGGGCAUGCAGGAACCCAGUGCCCUGACCAGGGAUCAAACCCUCAACCCCUGCAUUGGAAGCAUGGACUCCUAACCACGGGACCACAGGGAAGUCCUCAGAGAACCUCUUCUUAACACACGAUGACAGCGGUCUCACCGAGCCCCGUCUCCUUUCCUCCUCCUUUCUGUCCUUCCUUCCAUCCACCCAUCACCUGUCACCCGUCCAAGCAGCCUUUUUCUCUCUCAAUAGACACUCAGCCGGCGGCUCGGAAGGGCUGGGCAGAGCUGGGCGCUGCCUACACAUGUGAACAGGGAGUCACGGUGUCCACUCUCAACAGACCUCACAAAGAGUGAACAGGGAGCCAAGCAGGAAAUAAAUCCCUGCACGACGAUGUGAGAGUGCAGUGAUGAGAAGGCAGGGAGCUUGUGGGAACACAAAGGGAGGAGCCCAGUGGAAGCUGGGGUGGGAGGCGUGGCUUCCUAGGAAGGGACACCUGGGGGCAGAGGAGGGGCAGGAGCCCGCCUGGCAGGGAUGCCCGGGGCAGCAGAAAUAAAAGGGGGAGGCUUACCAGGCACCUGCCAAGAUGCUAACAGGUCCCGGCACAGCAGGAGCCCAGGAGAAGGGAUGGUCAGUGUGCGAUUACCCAAGAAACCUCAGCCUGACUCGAAGAAGAGCCACGUAAGGACACAGCUCAAGGCAGGCACGUCCAAUGGGCUUGGCGUGUGCCGAGUGACCAAGGGCAAGCAGCAGGGCUUAGAAAGCGCUGCAACAACCCCUGACAUUCCCCUAGAACACUGAUCUCAGUAAGUUUUCAUUUUCAUCUCAUUUUAUUUUUGAUUAAAAAAAAUGUACCCCCAUAGGUGUAGUUCCUUCUUUUUAUCUUGUCCUCAAGGGCAGGGAAAAAAAAAAUCCAGUGUCUCAUGCUUCCCUUCUCCAUUAGAAAACAGAAGAUACCUUCCAUCUGGGUAAAAAAAUUCUCCAGUUGUUUUUAGUGCUUGGCAGUUUCAAAAUCGUAACACUAUCUCACUCUAUUCUGUUUACCGGUCACAAAACCAUUGUCUUUCCUUUUUGAGGUGUGAGCAUUAGUGCCCGGGAAUGCUGACCAGUGAACUAAGUCACAGGGCAGGGCACCUUGAGUCCAGUCCUGGUUCCGGGGGGCCCCCGGGCACUCCACCUGAGUCCUCAGCCUGCUUUAUAAUAAUGUCUGAUUCCAACAUUGGGGGCUGUGCCUUAGUAAUUAUCCCCCUGAGCCCUCUCACUAUUAAUUUUUAUUGAGCAGAACCAAACUUAGUUCUAAAACUUAACUAAAAAAGAUAAUAAACUCGCUUACCUUUUUUAAGAUGAACAUUCUGAUCAGUACAAACAGCACGCCAGACAUGAAACCAGACAACAGUGGAGAUAUAAACCAAGAAGCAACU